rnacentral:rRNA from 1 species
UGCCAGCCGCCGCGGUAAUACGGAUGGUGCAAGCGUUAUCCGGAUUUACUGGGUUUAAAGGGUGCGUAGGCGGAUAUAUAAGUCAGUGGUGAAAUGCUCCCGCUCAACGGGAGAACUGCCAUUGAAACUGUAUAUCUAGAGUUUGGUUUAGGUAAGUGGAAUACAGCAUGUAGCGGUGAAAUGCAUAGAUAUGCUGUAGAACACCAAUAGCGAAGGCAGCUUACCGAGCCAACACUGACGCUGAGUCACGAAAGCGUGGGUAGCGAACAGGAUUAGAUA